CACCCAGUCUGCCAGCGUGUGGAGAUGUGUGGCGAUUUGCAAAAUCUCAGACUGAAGUACUAGCCAGACUCCUGAAACAAGCAGCUUGUCUGUUAGUGCCUCGCCAGAACCUCCCGCAACCUUGUGGCAUCGUUCACCUGGUGGUUCACAAUCACCCUGUUCCAGCAGCUCCCAAAGCUCUGAUGUAGACUGGGUGGAUACCUUUCUGAUACCAUGGGAUAAGUUCCCGGAGUAGCUUAUGCAGUUUUUAAAGAGAAGAAAACGACCAAGUCCGGAUUGUGGUGAAUGAGAUGAUGUGAAAAUGUUCUUGCCCAAGUGAAAGGAAUUCUUCUGAAGUUGCCAAACAUUUGGUGGCAAAAUAUCUUAAAUCUCUGCAAGACAUAAUAGAAGGAGAUGUUGUUGGGCCAGGGUACCAUUCUUUAGUUAAGCAGUUGCAGUAUAGGGUUGAAAAUGUGAAGCGAUCUACCACACCCAAAAUAAGAAAACGAAAGCAUUGCACUGAUGACUCUGACAAUGGGAAAAUUCCUCCCAAACAGAGAGCAGCAAUCCAGGAUACUUAUGGGUGCAUUAACUGGGAUGUAAAAUUCCUGCCCCUUGGAGAGACCCCUGAAAGCCAACAGGAAAAGAAAGAAAAACUGAAGAUGAUGUCUCAGCAAACUGAUAUAAAUCUAGCGGAGGUCAAACAUCUAAUGAAAUUGACUUUCUACACGCAACAUAAACAAUUCAACCAAGGAAAAAAUAUAAAAUGCCUUCUGGAGGAGUGGCCGUUUUGGUUUAAAGAACUUGGCAUGGCAGUUCACUUCAAGGAACUUACCGGAAAUGGUCUUAAACUUUCACACACAAUCUGGAAUUGAAGGGGAAACGACUCUUGAACUACUUCAGUACUGUUGGUAUGAGCAAGAACCAAAAAUUCCUGCCGGCUGUAACAAAGUGUAAAGUGAUGAGGGAACAUAUGAGUGGUUGCACUGAAGAUGUGAAAGAGAUGUUGUUGCUUUUGCUCUCCUACUUUAAUGAGAAGGAAGAUAUGUGGAGGACACAUGCCUGGCAGAGGAAGUAGAGAUAGACAAAGUUAAUUUGACUCCCACUUUUGUGUGUG